rnacentral:rRNA from 1 species
UCUUUUCCUUGUGUGCCAGCAGCCGCGGUAAUACGUAGGUGGCGAGCGUUGUCCGGAAUUAUUGGGCGUAAAGAGCCUGUAGGCGGUUUUUUAAGUCUGGAGUGAAAAUGCGGGGCUCAACCCCGUAUGGCUCUGGAUACUGGAAGACUUGAGUGCAGGAGAGGAAAGGGGAAUUCCCAGUGUAGCGGUGAAAUGCGUAGAUAUUGGGAGGAACACCAGUGGCGAAGGCGCCUUUCUGGACUGUGUCUGACGCUGAGAUGCGAAAGCCAGGGUAGCGAACGGG